rnacentral:misc_RNA from 1 species
UGGAAGUCUACUUGCGGCUGG